CCUCGGCUCCUCCCCCUCGGCCUCCAGCCGCCGCCAACAGGACAGUCGAGUCCGCCUCCCCCACCCCGCCCGCUCAGAGCGCUCCUCCCCUCCCCACGCGGCGAGGGGGGGCGGCACCGCCAGUCACCGCCGCGCCUGUCAAACCCGGGCCGGCUAUUUAUACCCCGCGGGGACCCGCCGCCCUCGGCCCCCACCAGCCCGCCCACCAGGCCUCGAUGGCUCUCUCGAAUCUCGCCCGCCCUGUAGCCCCCAACUUCUCCCAAGCACGCCUUCUCAGCUCACAUCUUUCAAAGGGACCACGUGGAGAGAGAGAAAGGGAGACUCUCAGACGGUAGCAUCACCGAAAUAACCUUUCCAGUGAAUGAGAUAGAUGACAGAGGUGUCAGCCAGAUAGAGCUCUGUGGACCCAGUACUGCUCUGGACAGACUUUCUUACAGCAGGAAGAGGUAGCAUUUAGGUUCAGCACGCUAUCUACCUCUUUCAGUCCUCUCAAGCCACCCUCUUCUCUUCUGAGUACCACGCACAAGACCUCAAGCCCCAAGCCUUGCACCAAAUCCCUGUUGCUUUCUAGCAUGAAAGAGAAAUCACGUGAAGAUUCACUUCCUUCCUGACUUGCAGCUGCAAUUGGGCUUGAUUAUGAAUCCCCAUCAAUCAGUUGUCCUUCCAUCCCUCCGCUUCGGUUCUGUCCCUCUCCCUCCUCCACGCGCGCCCCUCCUUCCCUCUCCCUCCUCCACGCGCGCCCCUCCUUCUCUCUCCUCUCCGGCUCUCUCGCGUUUCUCGUGAGCGUGGUGUUGGAUGCUCUCUGACCUAGUGCCCUCUUCUGUUUAAAACUUUCAGUGCGCAUCCGAACAAUUUACCUCGUUCUCAAAGAAAACCAGCUCUGGAAGAGCUUGACAUUAUUGGGAGCAAAUCUAGUAGGUGUGUGUGCAGGUCGAAAAUUUUGUAAACGGAAGCUUCUGAGAAAUGCGGGGUCAACAAACAAAUUCUAGAGGACUUUGUGAAAAUUAGAUUUGUCUCACUUUCCUUUCCCCAAACGAUGUCUAAUACCUUUUAAAUUCCUAAUAUUUCUGAUUUAGAGAACAUCAACACUCUUUUAAAAGUCAACAAAACCAAGUUCGCUUGCUUUCUCAGUAGACAGGGUAUAUCCAACUCGCUACGCUAAUGUUGACAUUUUUUUAAGUUGUUUUAACAGAAGGGAAUGUUUGUUUAAAUAUGUACCCUGUCCUUGAUGACAGUUCCAUUGCUUUCUUCUUUAGCUGCUGAAGGGGCAGAGAGGGACCAAGGAUAAUUUUCUGCAUUCUAAUCUGAUUAUAACUGGGUAGGAAGGGGAAAAAUGCCAGUUAAGAAGCAUUUGGGUGGACCUGGAGAUUAUCCUAAGCGAAGUAAGUCAGACAAAGAAAAAUAUCAUAUGAUAUCACUCAUCUGUGGGAUCUAAUUGGAAAAAAAAAUGACACAAACGAACUUAUUUAUAAAACAGAAACAGACUUACAGAUAUCACGAACAAACUUGUUACCAAAGGGGAAACGUCGGGGCGGGCAGUGGGGGAGGGAUAGAUCAGAAGCUUGGGAGGAACAUACACACGCUACUAUAUAUAAGAUAGACAGCCAGCAAGGACCUACUGUAGCGCACAGGGAAGUCUGCUCGAUAUUCUCUGAUAACCUAUAUAUGAGAAAAGAAUCUGAAAAAGAAUGAAUAUAUAUACAUAUAUGUAUAACUGAGUCACCUCACUGUAUACCUGAAACUAACACAACACUGUAAAUCAACUAUACUCCAAUAAAAUUUUUUAGAAAAAGAAAAAAAAGCAGCAUUUGGGACAGAGACACUCGUAGAAUGGAGAAUGAGGGUCGCAUCAAGGCCACACUGUGAACGGCCACUCAGGGUUCUUUCCCAGCCUGACCCUCAACUUCAGCCCUGUUCCCUGUGACCCAGACCCAAAUGGACAAAGCCCAGUCCCAGACUCCCAGAUCUGACCUUCUGUACUGUGAGAAGUGAGGGUAAAUUCGCCAUCACUUUACAAAAGUUUGUUUGUAAAGUGUCCUUGACCUUGACCCCAAUUAAAUUAUAUUGCGACCAGUGGAACACAGGUGUCUUAGUUAUUUCUCAUGUUCCCCAAACUGAUAAGUUCCAGAGAUAUGAUUCUCAUGGUGAAGAGGGAAAUUUGCUUCCUCAUGAAAUUGUGAUUUUUACCAAAAUAUCAACUUUAAGGACGCCAAAAUGAAAAUGAACCGGUACCUACUAUGUUCAUUACUUUCAUAGCAUAGAGCUCUGUUCUGGGAGUUUGGGGGUCUAGGUUUCCAUACUCAGAUUUGCUAACUGGAUUUGUGACUUAUGACAAGUCACAUAUACUCUCUAAGCCUUAGUUUUCUCAUCUGUGAAAUGAAAAUUAUAAUAUCUACCUUAUCUUCCCCGAAGUUUGUUGUUAUGAGGAUUGAAUGAGAUAACAUAUAAAAAUGGUUGUAACCUAGAAAGCCAAAGGUGUUACUAACCAAUGUAAAAUUAAACCAUCCCUUUUGGAUUUGAAAAUGAAACCAUUUGGGAACCCAAUUUCACGUUUGACAUAGUAAAAAGGUUCUGUUUGUUAUAAAAGUUUAGCAGCAGUGUAACCACUAUAACUGUCCCCAAGGGCUUAGAGACAGACACCUUAUAAACCAUCAUGAUCGAGACAUAUAAGGAGAAAAGUUUCAGCUGCAGUGAAAUCAAACGGUCCCCGGAUCUGAACGGUCUAUGUAAGAUUUUUUCUACUAAUGUUUAAAUUUUUAAAUUGUGGUAAUCAAUACAUAAUAGAAAAUCUACCAUCUUAACUAUUUUUAAGUGCACAGUUCAGUAGUGUUAAGUAUUGAUACAUUCACAUUGUGGUGCACAGACCUCCAGAACUUUUUCAACUAGCAAAACUGAAACUCUGUACCCAUUCAACAACUUCCCCUCCCCACCAGCCCCUGACAACCACCCUCCUGCUUUGUGUUUCUGUGCGCGUGACUACUUUAUGUCCCUCAUGUAAGUGAAAUCCUACAGUACUUGUCUUUUUGUGACCGGCUCAUCUCACUUGGUGUAACGUCCUCGUGGUCCAUCCACGUUGUAGCCUGUGACAAGGUUUCCUUCCUUUUUAAGGCUGAAUCGUAUUCCACUCUAGGUGUAUACCACAUUUGGUUUAUCCUUUUCACCAGCCGAUGGACAUUCAGUUUGCUUCCACCUCGUCUAUGCAAGAUGUUUGUUAUAACAGUAGGGUGCUCCGAAUUGGUUCGCUUGUUUAAGAUCGAAGGAACCCACACAUGGACCACCUUCAACGAACGAGAAGACAUGGUGUAAGCAUGUGUGGGAACUUGUGGGGACAAGAAAGGAGGGUCCCUCUGGAUACAGCCUCGCCCAGCUGCUUCUGCUUCGGGAGACUGGGUCAGAGGAGCUACAGGAACCAGGACUCGUGUCCACAGCAGCGACCUUAGCUAAAAUGACUCACCUUCUUUUGGGGAUAUCUAGCAUUUAUAGUUACCCAAAGAGAGGUUUUAUUUGAGCCAGUUUGUCACCACUUACGGUGGAGUAUGAUCCUGGGGCAGCGUGCUGGCCACGUGGCCGCAGAGGCAGGUCACCUCCUCAUGGCUUUGGUCACUUCCUCCAGCUUGUUCUCUAGCCCUGGAUGUUGUCUGCUGUGACUAGGAGAGCACGCUUAGCUUCUCCCGAAGCUCACACCACAGGCAGAAGAGCUCAGAGAUGAGGCAACCAUUUAGUCUCUGACUUGGGGAUGGAGCUGCCAGUGUUUGAGUCUAUGCCUCAUAGAGCACAUACAUACAUCCAAACUUGAGUUCCAUGUCUCCUCCAUUCUUCCCCUUAGCACCUUUCAUUCAUUCAUUUCCUCAUUUCUUCAUUCAUUCAUUCACUCAUUUAAUUGUACUGUCAUUCAACAAAAAUGCAUCAAGUCCUUGGUGUCUAGUGCCUUCAUCUACCCCUCCCACCCCGCCUCUCAGAGGCCCUGAGGGUAUCCUGUGCAGGCAGUAUUCAUGCUCUGGACCUCUGCAGGCUUCUUCUCCACAUCAAAAAUUGGAGGCUCAAUGCUUCAAUCCUUCAGAUCUCUGCUGUCUUAACUAAUUAAUUACCAUGUUAAUUAAAGUGACAAAAUGUGUGUUAACUGGUGUUAAUAUGGUAUGUAUUUCAGGUAAAUUAUUCACUCUUAAAAUAAAGCCCUUCUGGGCUUCCCUGGGGGCGCGGUGGUUGAGAGUCUGCCUGCCGAUGCAGGGGACACGGGUUCGUGCCCCGGUCUGGGAGGAUCCCACAUGCCGCAGAGUGACUGGGUCCGUGAGCCAUGGCUGCUGAGCCUGCGCGUCCGGAGCCUGUGCUCCGCAACGGGAGAGGCCACAACAGUGAGAGGC